rnacentral:rRNA from 1 species
GAUUUAUAUUAAAGGGCCGCGGUAUUUUGACCGUGCGAAGGUAGCAUAAUCAUUAGUCUUUUAAUUGGAGGCUUGUAUGAAUGGUUGGACAAAAAGUUAACUGUCUCAUUUAUAUAAAUUGAAUUUAACCUUUAAGUGAAAAGGCUUAAAUAGACUGGGGGGACGAUAAGACCCUAUAAAGCUUUACAAUAAUUUAAUUAAAUUAUAAAUUGUUAGUAUAACUUAAUUUAAUUAAUAUUUGUUUCGUUGGGGCGACGGGAAUAAAAUAGUAUAACUGUUCUUUUAUAAAAUUAAACAGAUUUAAUUGGAUAAAGAUUGAUCCUUUAAUAAAGAUUAAAAGAUUAAGUUACUUUAGGGAUAACAGCGA